GGAAGGUCCGGGCGUUAUCCGGAUNUAUNGGGUNUAAAGGGAGCGUAGGCCGGAGAUUAAGUCAGUNGUGAAAGUNUGCGGCUCAACCGUAAAAUNGCAGUUGAUACUGGCUGUCUNGAGUACAGUANAGGUGGGCGGAAUUCGUGGUGUAGCGGUGAAAUGCUUAGAUAUCACGAAGAACUCCGAUUGCGAAGGCAGCUCACUGGAGCGCAACUGACGCUGAAGCUCGAAAGUGCGGGUAUCGAACAGGAUUAGAUACCCUGGUAGUCCGCACGGUAAACGAUGGAUGCCCGCUGUUGGUCUGAACAGGUCAGCGGCCAAGCGAAAGCAUUAAGCAUCCCACCUGGGGAGU
rnacentral:rRNA from 1 species